CAGGAUAGGUAAUAUGUAACUUAGAUUAAAGCCUCAAAUUCUACAGUGGACGUGAUAUAGCACAAGAGAUUAAAGCCUCAAAUUCUACAGUGGACGUGAUAUAGCACAAGAGAAUAGAAAAAUUUACGUGGUGCCCUUUCAAGAAACUUGAGGGUCUUAUGUAAAGGAAAAUCAGAUGUGGCAACCCUAUUCUUGUCGAAUUUAGUGCUGGUUAGGUUACCCAUACCAUAGGGUUUAAUGUAACACAGUGAGGA
rnacentral:lncRNA from 1 species